rnacentral:rRNA from 1 species
GCUUACGGCCACACCUCCCUGAGCACGCCGAUCUCGUCUGAUCUCGGAAGCUAAGCAGGGUCGGGGCUCCGGUUAGUACUUGGAUGGGAGACCGCCUGGGAAUACCAGGUGCUGUAAGCC